AAUACAUGCAAGUCGAACGGCAGCAUUUCGGAUGGCAAGUGGCGAACGGGUGAGUAACGCGUACAGACCUGCCUUAUACUGGAGGAUAGCCCUGGGAAACUGGGAGUAAUACUCCAUGUGAUCGUAAGAUUAAAGCUCCGGCGGUAUAAGAUGGCUGUGCGUCUGAUUAGCUAGUUGGUGAGGUAGAGGCUCACCAAGGCGACGAUCAGUAGGGGGCGUGAGAGCGUGGCCCCCCACACGGGUACUGAGACACGGACCCGACUCCUACGGGAGGCAGCAGUAAGGAAUAUUGGUCAAUGGAGGCAACUCUGAACCAGCCAUCCCGCGUGCAGGAUGACGGCCCUAUGGGUUGUAAACUGCUUUUAUUUGGAACGAAAAUUACGGAUUUAUCUGUAACUGACGGUACCUCGAGAAUAAGCACCGGCUAACUCCGUGCCAGCAGCCGCGGUAAUACGGAGGGUGCAAGCGUUAUCCGGAAUCACUGGGUUUAAAGGGUGCGUAGGCGGCAUUAUAAGUCAGAGGUGAAAGCCCGUCGCUUAACGAUGGAAUUGCCUUUGAUACUGUAGUGCUUGAAUCAAGUUGAGGCUGGCGGAAUGUGGCAUGUAGCGGUGAAAUGCAUAGAUAUGCCAUAGAACACCAAUUGCGAAGGCAGCUGGCUGGACUUGAAUUGACGCUGAGGCACGAAAGCGAGGGGAGCGAACAGGAUUAGAUACCCUGGUAGUCCACGCCCUAAACGAUGUUUACUCGUUCCAGGCACUUGCUGUCUGGGACCAAGCGAAAGCGUUAAGUAAACCACCUGGGGAGUACGUCGGCAACGAUGAAACUCAAAGGAUGACGGGGUCCGCACAGCGGUGAGCAUGUGUUUAUCGAUGAUACGCGAGGACUACUAGCUAGAUGUGAGCGCUACCUGUGAAAGCAGGGUUCUUCGGACGCG
rnacentral:rRNA from 1 species